rnacentral:rRNA from 1 species
GCGUUAAUCGGAAUUACUGGGCGUAAAGGGUGCGUAGGUGGUUAAUUAAGUUAUCUGUGAAAUUCCUGGGCUUAACCUGGGCAGGUCAGAUAAUACUGAUUGACUAAGAGUAUGGGAGAGGGUAGUGGAAUUUCCGGUGUAGCGGUGAAAUGCGUAGAGAUCGGAAGGAACACCAGUGGCGAAGGCGGCUACCUGGCCUAAUACUGACACUGAGGCACGAAAGCGUGGGGAGCAAACAGG